ACUGGAGCUGAAUGUCAACAUUAAAGAUGAAGAGGAGGAGAAAUCGGUUUCUCUUAGACAACUAGAAUUAAGUCUGAGUUCGGUAACAUCAAUAGUGAGGACAAACCCAGCCUGCCUCUCUCCUUCCACACUGAUUCCAAACCUACAGUCAUUGGGUCCUGAUUGUGACAGUGGAGCCCAGUUUGCUCUGCAGGAUCCAGAGAUGAAGCUGGAAGACUGCAGUCAGACAAUGGAGCUGAAUGUCAGCAUUAAAGAUGAAGAAGAUAAGAUAGAGAAAUCUCUUUCUCAAGGAGACCAUGUUGAGACAUUCUCUACAUCCAGAGAGAAACAGCAGGAAGAUCACAGAGCUAAGAGGUCUCACCACUGUCCACAUUGUGAGGAGAAUUUUUCACUUCUAUCAAAGCUACAAUUACAUGUAAAAAUACACACAGGAGAGAAUCUGUUUUCCUGUACUGACUGUGGGAAGAAUUUCACAACCUCAAAGGCUCUGACAGUUCAUCAGAGAGUGCACAGAGGAGAGAAGUCAUACCCCUGCUCUGACUGUGGAAACAGUUUCUUUCAACUGUGCACCUUAAAAAGACAUGAACAUAUACAUACAGGAGAGAAG